CUUUUACCGUUGACUCAGGGCUCAUUCCCUCACGUCAUCAACCGUUUUAUUCUAAACAUUCAGCAACAUCUAAGAUUCUUAUGAUUGUCUUGCUUUAAAAGGUAAAAACAAGCAAGAGGAUUGAACAGGAACGACUUUCCUGUAACGUUCUUAGUAGGGGAAUUUUAGUGUUUCUGGCACAAAUCCCUAUUGUUCUCUAUGUUUCUGAC
rnacentral:lncRNA from 1 species